UCUCCAAUUCUUUCUCUACACCCACAAAUUGCCUUUCUCAAUUCGCUUCUUGCCUCUUUCUUCUCUCUCUCUAUCUCUCUCUUCCAGUCGCUUACACUUCGCUGAUUGUAACAGCCCUAUGCUUGAUCCAGUAAUUUGAAAUUGUUGAUUGGGAAUUCUGGGGUGAGGAGAAGGAUCAUGCUCACGGUGCUUAAACGAAUUAUAUUGAUAAGAGUUUUAUUAUGGGUAACCUUCUUGGAUUAUUUGGUGUACACACUCAUUGUCUGGUAAAAAACUAUAAUUUUGUUCUCAUAUAUGGCGAUCUCUGGGGUAAAUCUGUAAUGUUUCUGCAAACUUGGUCCAUUUGAAUGUUAUUUGCUGCUGUUGGUAUAGAAUGCUCA